AGAAUAUGUUUGUUUUCUUUGUGGUCUGUGUUGUGUCAGGGAGGAGCUAUCCUGUAAAAAGAACUGGAUGAACUUGGACUGCACUCCUUUGGAAACAUGAAGAGUAUAGAAAAACUGCUUUGCAGAAUAUUACUGCUUUUUCUCUGGUUCCAGUCUGGAGUCGGGAGGAAUGGACCAGCAUUUACUCCUCCAGGUUUUAUAGAAAGCACCUGUUCCUCCAGUAUAUUUUGGGUGAAGCUGGAUAAGUUCUUUCUUCAGGACAAAUUCUUCACAGUUGAAAUAAUUGGUGAGCUGUAAUCCAUGGG